rnacentral:rRNA from 1 species
GACGAACGCUGGCGGCGUGCUUAACACAUGCAAGUCGAACGAAAAGAGGGAAAGAGCUUGCUCUUUCCGGAAUUGAGUGGCAAACGGGUGAGUAACACGUAAACAACCUGCCUUCAGGAUGGGGACAACAGACGGAAACGACUGCUAAUACCGAAUAAGUUCCAAGAGCCGCAUGGCCCAUGGAAGAAAAGGUGGCCUCUACCUGUAAGCUAUCGCCUGAAGAGGGGUUUGCGUCUGAUUAGCUGGUUGGAGGGGUAACGGCCCACCAAGGCGACGAUCAGUAGCCGGUCUGAGAGGAUGAACGGCCACACUGGAACUGAGACACGGUCCAGACUCCUACGGGAGGCAGCAGUGGGGAAUCUUCCGCAAUGGGCGAAAGCCUAACGGAGCAACGCCGCGUGAGUGAUGACGGCCUUCGGGUUGUAAAACUCUGUGAUCCGGGACGAAAAGGCAGAGUGCGAAGAACAAACUGCAUUGACGGUACCGGAAAAGCAAGCCACGGCUAACUACGUG